rnacentral:tRNA from 1 species
GGCUCUGUGGUCUAGUGGUACGAUUCCCGCUUUGGGUGCGGGAGGUCCCGGGUUCAAACCCCGGCAGAGCCC